GCAAACUUGGUCAUUUAGAGGAAGUAAAAGUCGUAACAAGGUCUCCGUUGGUGAACCAGCGGAGGGAUCAUUACUGGGUCGCAAGGCUCCUAAACCCACUGUGAACAUACCUGUGUCGUUGCUUCGGCGGGCGAGAGCCCGCCGGAAAACCAAACAAAACUGUUGUCGCGUUAGUGGAUUAUUCUGAGACCGUAGCGGGAACGAGUCAAAACUUUCAACAACGGAUCUCUUGGCUCUGGCAUCGAUGAAGAACGCAGC
rnacentral:misc_RNA from 1 species